AUUGAACGCUGGCGGCAGGCCUAACACAUGCAAGUCGAACGAGUGGCGGACGGGUGAGUAAUGUCUGGGAAACUGCCCGAUGGAGGGGGCUAACUAAUGGAAACGGUAGCUAAUACCGCAUACCAUCGGAUGUGCCCAGAUGGGAUUAGCUUGUAGGUGAGGUAACGGCUCACCUAGGCGACGAACCCUACGUGGUCUGAGAGGAUGACCAGCCACACUGGAACUGAGACACGGUCCAGACUCCGACGGGAGGCAGCAGUGGGGAAUAUUGGACAAUGGGCGAAAGCCUGAUCCAGCCAUGCCGCGUGUGUGAAGAAGGUCUUCGGAUUGUAAAGCACUUUAAGUUGGGAGGCGUUACCAACAGAAUAAGCACCGGCUAACUUCGUGCCAGCCGCCGCGGUAAUUC
rnacentral:rRNA from 1 species